AGAGGGGGUGCGAGCGUUAAUCGGAAUUACUGGGCGUAAAGGGCGCGUAGGUGGUUUAUCAAGUUGGGAUGUAAAAGCCCCGGGGCUUAACCUGGGAAAGCCAUUCAAGACUGUUAGACUAGAGUGCGGUAGAGGGAAGUGGAAUUUCCGGUGUAGCGGUGAAAUGCGUAGAUAUCGGAAGGAACACCAGAGGCGAAGGCGACUUUCUGGACUGCCACUGACACUGAGGCGCGAAAGCGUGGGGAGCGAACAGGAUUAGAUACCCUGGUAGUCCACGCUGUAAACGAUGAAUACUAGCCGUUGGUGCCGUAAAGGCAUAAGUGGCGCAGCAAACGCGAUAAGUAUUCCGCCUGGGGAGUACGACCGCAAGGUUA
rnacentral:rRNA from 1 species